UGCUCUUCCAAGUUGUUAUAGGCACGAUGGGGGUCAGUGAAAACGUUACGGUGUCAGUUUGGACAUAUUUCUGUGGUCAGGUUGCAACUCUUCAAUCUCUCAUUAACGAUAUAAUGACACGUGAAGGAAAAGAAACUAUUAGUACUAAAAAGGAGACAAAAAAAAAAAAGCCUCUUCUGAGAAUUUACCGGGUUACCCAUAAUGAGAAAACCAUCCACCGAAGAGCAUAGGCCUAGUGGAUACUCCUAAGCUCGUGUUCCUGAAAUCGAUGUAGUCGACGAGGGACUAGCAAGAUAUUCCUGAUAAAAAGAGAACGAUAAAAGACAGCCCUAUGAGAGGUGAGUUGAGAGAAUCCACGCAGAGAUAAGUAAACUCACUUAAUCAUUCCAUCACGACCGCCGUCAGCGCCAUGCCUGGAUGUCUGAUAACCACACUCAGUCAGGUUAAAGGCGCUUUCUGUGUCCUCUAAAUGAGUCGUUGAAUAUCAACAAACCUACUUACAGCUCUGCAAUGUAUUUAGACGAAGAAAUAUCCCGGAAGUAUUUCCGGGGUCUUUGACCUCGUGCAUAAAGAAAACACAUUUGACUGAUUUGACUGAGAUGGAAAAAAUCCUACUCUUGGGACGACUGAAGAGGCGCAGGAUUUCUCAAGGUUGAGCCUGUAAGGUUUUAGAAGGU